UCCCUGGUGGUCCAGUGGUUAAGACUGCACUUCCAAUGUAGGGGGCACAGGUUCGAUACCUGGUCAGGGAA
rnacentral:tRNA from 1 species